CAGCAGCCGCGGUAAUACAGAGGGUGCAAGCGUUAAUCGGAAUUACUGGGCGUAAAGCGCGCGUAGGUGGUUUGUUAAGUUGGAUGUGAAAUCCCCGGGCUCAACCUGGGAACUGCAUCCAAAACUGGCAAGCUAUAGUAUGGUAGAGGGUGGUGGAAUUUCCUGUGUAGCGGUGAAAUGCGUAGAUAUAGGAAGGAACACCAGUGGCGAAGGCGACCACCUGGACUGAUACUGACACUGAGGUGCGAAAGCGUGGGGAGCAAACAGGAUUAGAUACCCCAGUAGUCCCUGUCUCUUAUAA
rnacentral:rRNA from 1 species